rnacentral:rRNA from 1 species
UGGGGAAUAUUGGACAAUGGGCGCAAGCCUGAUCCAGCCAUGCCGCGUGUGUGAAGAAGGCCUUCGGGUUGUAAAGCACUUUUGUCCGGAAAGAAAAGCGCCUGAUUAAUACUCGGGUGUUAUGACGGUACCGGAAGAAUAAGCACCGGCUAACUUCGUGCCAGCAGCCGCGGUAAUACGAAGGGUGCAAGCGUUACUCGGAAUUACUGGGCGUAAAGCGUGCGUAGGUGGUUUGUUAAGUCUGAUGUGAAAGCCCUGGGCUCAACCUGGGAACUGCAUUGGAAACUGGCUUACUAGAGUGCGGUAGAGGGUAGUGGAAUUCCCGGUGUAGCAGUGAAAUGCGUAGAGAUCGGGAGGAACACCAGUGGCGAAGGCGACUACCUGGACCAGCACUGACACUGAGGCACGAAAGCGUGGGGAGCAAACA